rnacentral:pre_miRNA from 1 species
GUGGCUGCUGGAUGGGUGCUCUCUACUAGUGCCGUGCAGAAGCUUUCCCUGAGGUUGCUGUGAGCCUGUAGGGUUUCCCCCAGGCUACAGAGCUGG